AAAAUCCGCUGUAACAAUUCUGAGGCGUGAUGGGGAAGGUCAUUAAGACCGAAGUACAUGAUUCCAUGCUUCCAAGAAAAGCAUCUAGAGAGAGAAGUAGUGCCCGUACCGCAAACCGACACAGGUAGAUGAGGAGAGAAUCCUAAGGCCGGCGGAAGAAUUGCAGUUAAGGAACUAGGCAAAUUGACCCCGUAAGUUCGCGAGAAGGGGUGCCUGCGAGAGCAGGCCGCAGAGAAUAGGCCCAAGCAACUGUUUAGCAAAAACACAGGUCUCUGCUAAAGCGUAAGCUGAUGUAUAGGGGCUGACGCCUGCCCGGUGCUGGAAGGUUAAGGGGAACACUUAGCGCAAGCGAAGGUGUGAACUUAAGCCCCAGUAAACGGCUGCCGUAACCAUAACGGUCCUAAGGUAGCGAAAUUCCUUGUCAGGUAAGUUCUGACCCGCACGAAUGGCGUAAUGACUUGGGCACUGUCUCAACUGCAAAUCCGGCGAAGUUGUAGUGCGAGUGAAGAUGCUCGCUACCCGCGAUUGGACGGAAAGACCCCGUAGAGCUUUACUGUAGCUUAGCAUUGAAUUCCGGUAUUGUCUGUACAGGAUAGGUGGGAGACUGGGAAACUAGGGCGUCAGCCUUAGUGGAGUCAACCUUGGGAUACCACCCUGACAGUACUGGGGUUCUAACAGGACGCCAUGAAGCUGGUGACUGGACAUUGUUAGGUGGGCAGUUUGACUGGGGCGGUCGCCUCCUAAAAAGUAACGGAGGCGCCCAAAGGUUCCCUCAGAACGGUCGGAAAUCGUUCGUAGAGUGCAAAGGCAGAAGGGAGCCUGACUGCGAGACCCACAAGUCGAGCAGGGACGAAAGUCGGGCUUAGUGAUCCGGUGGUACCUCGUGGGAGGGCCAUCGCUCAACGGAUAAAAGCUACCUCGGGGAUAACAGGCUGAUCUCCCCCAAGAGUCCACAUCGACGGGGAGGUUUGGCACCUCGAUGUCGGCUCGUCGCAUCCUGGGGCUGUAGUAGGUCCCAAGGGUUGGGCUGUUCGCCCAUUAAAGCGGCACGCGAGCUGGGUUCAGAACGUCGUGAGACAGUUCGGUCCCUAUCCGUCGCGGGCGUAGGAAAUUUGAGAGGAGCUGUCCUUAGUACGAGAGGACCGGGAUGGACUGACCUCUGGUGCACCAGUUGUUCUGCCAAGAGCAUGGCUGGGUAGCUAAGUCGGGAAGGGAUAAACGCUGAAAGCAUCUAAGCGUGAAGCCCCCCUCAAGAUGAGAUUUCCCAUAGCAUAAGCUAGUAAGACCCCUUGAAGAACACAAGGUUGAUAGGUCAGAGGUGGAAGUGCGGUAACGUAUGUAGCUGACUGAUACUAAUAGGUCGAGGGCUUGACCA
rnacentral:rRNA from 1 species